rnacentral:lncRNA from 1 species
GUCUUGCUCUGUCACCUAGGCUGGAGUGCAGUGGUGCAAUCAUAACUCACUGCAGCUUCGACCUCCUGGCCUCAAGUGAUCCUCUCACCUCAGCCUCCCAAGUAGCUGAGACCACAGGUGCCAUUCUCUCUCUCUCUCUCUCUCUCUCUCUCUGUUUCUCUCUUUCUCUCUCCCUCUCUCCCUCUUUCUCUCUCAGAAACGGGGUCUCACUAUGUUGCCCAGGCUCAUCUUGAAAUCCUGGCCUCAAGUGAUCCUCCCACCUUGGCCUCCCAAAGUGCUCAGAUUACAAGCAUGAGCCAUUGCACCUGGCCUGAAAUAUUAUUUACCUUGAUUAUUGAGUUUUUUGGUGCCCCUUUAAGUUUUGCACCUGAGGCUGGUGCCUCACCCAACUCACAUUAGCCCCUGCCCUGAUUAUUUCUAACAUGCAAUCCACACCAUAUCAUUAGUUCCUCAGCAAAUACUCUACUAUUAUCACUACUUCACAGUUGCAAAAACUGAGGCACAACUGUGCCCAAUGUCCCAAAGGAAGGAGAAGAAAAAUCUGAACUUGAACCCCAGUUUCUUCGUUUUUUGGUUCAGAGCCUGCCCAGUAUAGCACUACAAUAAGCUGAAUUUUAUAAAUUGGGUUUUGAGUUAAGGAAUCAAAAGCUUCAGGCUUAAGUCCCACCUCUGCCCCAGAGUCUUCUGAGCCCUCCAUUUUCACAGACGUCAGUUGCCCUAGGUGGAACUGGACUUUAAUAUUCUCCACAUCCCUUAUUUUUUCCCAAAACAGUUUACCAGCUUUUUCUUUCCUGAACCAGGAGCAAUAGCAAAAAUUGGGAAUGGGAAGAAACAGGUACCAGCCAGGACACCUGAACGAACUUGGAGCUCAGGAACCCAGGAGGGGAUUGGAGAGAGUGGGGAGACUCCAUGGUCCACAAUGAAUGCUCCUUCCCCAUCCGAAAAAAUCCCCUAGCCCAGUUUUUGGGCAGAUGCCAGACUUUUAUUCUGAAGCGUGGGCCACAACCUAUGAGGUAAUCUUUGGAGCUUCAUUCUGAGGCGGAAUCCCAUUGGCCAGUUGGGGAAGCCCCUCCCAGGAUUCCUGGCGCUCCGCCUUCCCUGAAGCCUAUAAAAGCGCAGGUCCCCGCCUCGGCAGCCACGGGACACCUGCAUCUGCCAACAAGACUGGAAGCAGAAAGGGACAGAGACGGCGAAGUUUGACGGUCUGGAAAGCAGAGACCAGCAGGGCUGACUGCUUGGGAGCGCCUCUCGGGAGGUCCGAGAAGAGAACCGCGAUCUGUUUCAGCACCGGGGCUCAGGACAGUUCCCAGCGGGCUCCGUUUCGUCUCCAGAACCCUGGACAGCUCCUCCAGUAGAGACGGGGUUUCACCAUGUUGGCCAGGCUGGUCUCAAACUCUUGACCUCUUCAUCCGUCCACCUCAGCCUCCCAAAGUGCUAGGAUUACAGGCGUGAGUCACUGCGCCUGGCCCAAGUCCGGAAUUUUCAACAGGACAUGGGUGUUACUGUGCCCAUGUGACAUUUGGGGAACCCAAGGCCCUGAGAAAGGCAGAAAAAUAACCCACGCAGGGACUCUCAGCCCACAAGUGAAGCUCUUGGAAUGCACUCCCUCCACCUCCAACCAGAGCUCCCCACAACUGACCCUGCCUUCUUCUGCAAGCUCCAUUUCAUCAAGGGAAACGAUCCUUAUUGCCUCACCAUUUCCCACGUGAAGUCUGUAUUGACAUUCUCAUAGACCUGGGAUAUUGUGUCUGCAGCACAUAGUCCAAUUAUUUUCAUGUUAUCUACUGACAGGUCUAUUUGUCUCCCUGUUACACUGUGAGCUCCGUGAGGGCAGAAACAAUGUUAGUAUUUUCACUGCUGUGUCCCCAGCGCCUGGUCCGGGGCCCGGCACACAGCAGGCAUAUAAUAAGCAUGUGUUGAAUCAAUAAAGGCAUCAAAGAAUAAACCAAUACAUCAAUCAAUAAAUGAAUGAAUGGCCUCAGCACACACAGGAAGAUCCUUCUUCUAGGUCUCCCCCAGAGAGAUACUGGAGGGCAAUGGUUGCUGGAGGUGUUUAUUGGGGAAGCAUAAUUGAAUUUGUGGACACUUAAGGGCCGGCCAGCCAACUCACAGCCCCAAGAGAGAGAGCCAGGCUCAUUUAAUUAGCAAUUACAAGGCACUGAUUCCUCAUUAGCUCUGGCAACCCUCGUCUCCCUCCUCAGCCCCAGACAAAUGAAAUCUUUCUCUCUCUCCCAGGAGUACUGCCUCAGUGGGUCCAUUAACAAGCAGAGAAAAUGAGAUUAGAAGACACCUAAAUGCCAGAGGCACUUUAUGAAUGGGCUGAGCAGAGGGAGGUUCAAUGUCUGGGUUAGGUCUAAUUGUGGGAGGUUUCCUGGUCUAUUUAGAAUUGCCCCCUGGGAAUGCAAGGUCUUUCAGAAAGGAAAAGGCACACAGAUAUUGCCUUCUGGGGUCCUCAAUGGAGGAGGACAUUCUGCUAUGGGUGUCUCCCAGUCACCCCAAAUUAAUCAUUUCAAAGUGAACACUCAAUCUGCCCAGCCCCUAGCUUCCUCCCCUGACAUGCCCAUGAAUAUGACAGUCCCUCUACAUGCCCAAGAUCCUCCCCUCCUCAUCCACUCCCCAUGAUCCCCAAGAUGAGUCACUGUGCUCAAAUCCAUCCUCUCUCCUCCAGCCCUCUGCCUCCAUGACCUCCCUCCAGCCCUCUGCCUCCAUGACCUCCGCCUCCCUGCAUGUCCGGAUCUCCUCACUGUCUCCCCUCUGAGCAUACACACACAUACAGCCUGUUCAUUCUCUACAUGCAGCGAGGGGACUUUCCAGAACACACAUCUGACCAAGUUCCACUCCUGCCUGUCACCCUUCCAAGAGCCCCACUGACUGCAGAAUAACGUUCAAAUAUCCGGUUGGGCGUGGUGGCUCAUGCCUGCAGUCCCAGCACUUUGGGAGGCCAAGGUGGGUGGAUCACUUGCACAGGACCACAGGCGUGUGCCACCACACCCAGCUAAUUUUUAUAUUUUUGGUAGAGACGGAGUUUCACCAUGUUGGCCAGGCUGACCUCAAGUGAUCCACCCGCCUCAACCUCCCAAAGUGCUGGGAUUACAGGCAUGAGUCACUGCACCGGUCUAAUUUUUUCAGAGUCUCACUCUUGCCCAGGCUGGAGUGCAGUAGCAUGAUCUCGGUUCACUGCAACCUCUGCCUCCUGGUUUCAAGCGAUUCUCUUGGCUCAGCCUCCUGAGCAGCUGGGAUUACAGGCACGUGCCACCACACUUAGCUAAUUUUUGUAUUUUUAGUAGAGAUGGGGGUCUCACCAUGCUGGCACAGUUGGUCUUGAACUCCUGACCUCAAGUGAUCCACCCACCUCGGCUUCCCAAAGUGCUGGGAUUACAGACGUGAGCCACCGCGCCCGGCCAGCCUUUAUUGAUUCUUUUUAAAGCCACACUAACCUUUUAUUUUCCCCCAAAGACCCCUGGGAGCCCUCAGUUUUUCCUGGCAGUUUCAUCUUUGUACCCCUGACCUCCCCACACACACGCCUAGCUCAGUGCUGGCAUCCAAUAUUCACUUUGGGUAUAAAUGCUUGUGCCUGAGCCUAUCACCUUCAUCACACAGAAAAUCCUGGAGGCCACACACCCCUGUAAAGACGAGCCAUUACCCACAGAGGUCCAACCAACUUACCACCCUCUCCCAGCCACCCCCAAGGACCCAGCUUGCAGCUGCCUGCUCAAUGGCUUUAGAAACUAAAAAAGGUGAAUGAGUUUCCAUCACUGCCCUCCUGGGCUUUGCCGUUAUGGCUGGUUAACUUGACAGAAGAACACAUUAUACUUCAUUUUUUGCUGUUGUCUUGUUGGAAAAAAAAGUGACAGCUGGGUGCAGUGGUGCACACUGUAGUCACAGCUACUCAGGAGAAUUGCUUGAGCACAGGAAUUGGAGGCUACACUGAGCAAUGAUCGCCUCACUGCACUCCAGCCUGAACGACAGAGCAAGACCCUCUUAAAAAAUACGUGAGAGAGGGUGCGUAUGAUGGCUCAUGCCUGUAAUCCCAGCAGUUUG